rnacentral:rRNA from 1 species
GACGAACGCUGGCGGCGUGCCUAAUACAUGCAAGUCGAGCGGACCGACGGGAGCUUGCUCCCUUAGGUCAGCGGCGGACGGGUGAGUAACACGUGGGUAACCUGCCUGUAAGACUGGGAUAACUCCGGGAAACCGGGGCUAAUACCGGAUGCUUGAUUGAACCGCAUGGUUCAAUCAUAAAAGGUGGCUUUUAGCUACCACUURCAGAUGGACCCGCGGCGCAUUAGCUAGUUGGUGAGGUAACGGCUCACCAAGGCGACGAUGCGUAGCCGACCUGAGAGGGUGAUCGGCCACACUGGGACUGAGACACGGCCCAGACUCCUACGGGAGGCAGCAGUAGGGAAUCUUCCGCAAUGGACGAAAGUCUGACGGAGCAACGCCGCGUGAGUGAUGAAGGUUUUCGGAUCGUAAAACUCUGUUGUUAGGGAAGAACAAGUACCGUUCGAAUAGGGCGG